rnacentral:lncRNA from 1 species
GGGAAUUUCAGAGAAGUGAGAUUUAGUUUCCAAGCCAUGUUUGCCCUUGAGGCAGCACAAGCUAGGAGGUACUGAGCUGAACAGAAAGCAGUGAGCAACCGUCUGGCUGUGCUGGGGAGAUUAAAAACUCUUGUGCCAGCUCUAGGUAACCUAAUAAACUGCCCCAGGAUUCAGCUUUCAAAGCUGGGAAACACUUCAGAUAAUGGUUGAAACCAGAGGGAACCUGGACCGUCAAAGCAACAACGACACCACCACCACAGACACAUUCAGAGACAGACAGGGAACCUCGACCGUCAAAGCAACAACGACACCACCACCACAGACACAUUCAGAGACAGACAGGGAGCAGAAGAGACGAAGCGUAUGAAAGGGACUGGGAAGCAGAUGUGUGUUUCAUAUCAGUUUUAUCAGCCCUGAGACUGGAUCACCAACGAAAUGACUAACAAGGCAGGAAAAUGGGUAUGAAAUCAGCAUUUGCUAAUUAACUGGCA